AUAGACUUGCUCGUUUUAACCUAAUAUGAUUGGUAGAAUUCUAGUUCAUGUGAAAGCAUGUGUAUAGACUUCAGGAAGGAUUUGUAUUGUUUCAGGAAACCCUUCCUGCAGAUUCAACCUUAUGUGUGUUUUCUUUCUGAGAGAUUGGUCUCCUGGUUUUUGCUUGUGUAUAGACUUGCUCGUUUUAACCUAAUAUGAUUGGUAGAAUUCUAGUUCAUGUGAAAGCAUGUGUAUAGACUUCAGGAAGGAUUUGUAUUGUUUCAGGAAACCCUUCCUGAAACAAGAUGGGAGAUCCAUUACCAUUAAGACUAGCACUGCCUGAGCUGAGAUAUCCGAUUGGAUCAGAGCCAGAGAAGACGAUAUCGAUAAACCAACACUCGAUAGUUGCUUAUAUCAAAACUGUUAAGGAAAUUCUAGGAAAUGAUGAGUUCAACAGAAUAAGAGGGACGUUUUUGGGACCGGUGAUCAAGCUUGGAGAGAGGUCUUUGAAAUUAUCAGCUAAGAUAGUGCACGCAGUUCUCACCAAAAGCAUCAAGACAGUGAAGAGACACGAAUCCUGGUUCCAUUUUGGUGCUCAGCCAAUGAGGUUCUCUAUAAGAGAAUUCCACAUGGUGACUGGUUUGAAAUGUAGUGGUGAAGCAAGAGAACCACGAGAGGAAACCGAGAGAUUUAAGUGGGACUUCCUAAAAGGGCGUACUCAUACAGUAAAGGACGUGGAGAAGCAGCUCAGAAACACAAGAGAAGAUGCUUCUGAUGAGAGAUUCUGCCUUGCAAUGCUCCUCCUGAUUGAGAGCAUACUACUACAGAAGAGCCUUCUCGACGGUGGCACAACUUUUACUUUGGAUUAUGUGAAAAUAGCGCAGGAUAUGGAUGUCUUGAUGACAUACCCAUGGGGGAGAACAGCUUAUAAUUUGCUGUUAAAAUCACUUCAGAGAGCUGUCGACAAAAGCCUCGACAAAAACAAUUAUGAUUUGCAAGGAUUCCCUAUGGCAUUUCUUAUAUGGAUACUUGAGUCAGUACCUUUGCUACAGUAUGCAUUCAGUCAAGUGGUUCCUAUUCUGAGCGUUCAACCGUCUACCCCAAUAUUUUUGUGUGAGAAGUACCUUCAAAUAGCUUCUCCACAGCUGAUAGAUGUUCUCCUAAUUGAAAUCAAAGAUCAUGUAAGUUUUUACAUUAUUUUUUUCUUGUUUCUGUUUUGCCUUAUGAUUCUCCAUUUAAAAGCUAAUUAUUUUUAUGGUUUCAGCUUAAGGUCAUAUGCAUCCUACCUCCUAUUCCUAAUGAUCCAGAAGCUGAUGUUUGCAUGGAAGACGAAGCUAAUAAAGAUCUGGAUGACAUGGCCGAUUUAUCCAAGAGAGGUUAUAAGUUUAAAAUUAGAGAUUGGCGAAACAUGUCAGUAGACCUAUACGGUGCUAAUGAACAAAUAAGAAGAGCAUCUUUACUGUUUGGGAAUGGAGGGAUGAGUCAAGCUUCUUCUUCGUAUCAGGAGGAGUCUUUGGAAUCAAAGAUCAACAGAAUCAGCGAGAUGGUGGGAGAUAAUUUAAGGAUCAUGAACGAUCGUUUGUGUUUGAUUGAAAAAGACAGGAAACAGAUUAAAGAACGUGUGACAAAACUAGAGAAACUACAAAGAGUUACUUCAUAUGAAACUCCAAACAAUGAGGUAACUUUUUUUUCGGAAAUUAAAAUUAAUGUUUAUCUAGUUCUUGAUUCAGUUUUUUUUUUUGAGUUGUCAAGUAAUUUUGGAAGAUGUUAUACAUAUUUAGGAUUGCCUUCCUAAUUUUUGUUCUACUUGCACAGACUGACACAACUCCAUUUCAUGAGACGGCUUCCAGACAAGGUGAAGCCAAUACAGAUCAAGCAGAUGAACAACUUAACAAUGAGGCAAGUAUAAUUUUGAAAACUGUUGGUAUUUAUAAAAUUAUGAAUUUGGUUGUACUUCAAUUAAUUUUUGGAAGUUCUUGUACGUGUUCAUAAUCCCAUUCCUGACUUCAGGAUACACGAGAGCCUAUGAAUGAGAUCACGAAAGAGACACCUGGUUCUCCAAUAGCUCAACAGAAUAUUGAGACUCCAGUCCUUACUCCAAUUCAGACGCAACAGGUACAUUCUUUAAAAAAAUGGACUUUUCAAGUAAUUUUUGGAAGCCCUUGUACGUGUUCAUGAAACCAUUCCUGAAUUCAGGAGACUCACGAGCUUAUGAAUGAGAACAUUUCACCAAACAUUCAGGAGACUCACGAGCAAAAUAAGGUAUUACUUUUAUUUUAAAACCUUUAAUAAAUAUAAAGCAACUAUCAAAAUGACUGGAUAUCCUUGAAUCUAAACCAUCACAGGAUGUAGAAAGCAGAGUUCAAAAUACCUUUGAGAUCGGAGCAAAUGUGGAGAUUUCAUCACAAGAUGACAAUACUUGUCAUAAAUGGUAUCCAGGAAAUGUGUUGGCAACAUAUUUGGUUGAUGGGGUUGAGAUGGUGAAAGUUGAGUACUCCGCACCGUCUCUGGACGAAAAGAAGAGGAAAAGGAGUGUUGAGACACGUGUAUCAAUUGACAGAAUACGUCCUCAACCACCACCUGAGAGACCUGGAGCGAAGAAAAGUUAUGAGCUAAUGGAUGACGUAGAGGUGUUCGACAAUGGUGCCUGGUGCGCUGGAAAAGUUAAAGUCAUUUUGUUUGAUGGCACGUGUUUUGUCUCUUUGAACAAUUCUACUGAACAAAUUUACUUCAACCAUUCUGAGAUGCGAAAACCAAGAAAAUGGGUAGAUGGUGUUUGGAAGAUGACAGAAAAGGUAAAACAAAUGCCUUGGAUAACUUGAAUUGAAAAAUAAUGUCAUUUGUUUAAUAUCUCGGUAUUGUUUUUCAGAUAGAAGAAGAGCAGACGCAGAGUGUGAAUCCAAGUGAAGGAGAUGGUGAUAAAAAGGUAUGAAAUAUUUAUACAUCAUACUAGGAAUUAAGAUAUAAAUGUAUCUGAAUUUUUGUCAUUCAAAAAGGGGAAGGCGAAGGCUGUCGCUUGUAAGAAGAAGAAGAAAGCAAAUGCUCAGCCAGUAGAUUUGCUUCCUUUUCUACAGCGAGAAGAGAAGAGGCCAAUACGACCUAGAAACCCUCCUAUGCCUGUAACACCUGAGGUAAUCCUUCCAAUUGAUCCAUUUGUGACACCUGAAUUUCCUCGGUUUUCAAGGCUUGCACACUGGAUGGAUCUACGGGGCAUAUAUCGUGUACCGUUUUAUAUCAAUGGAAGAGAAAUUGAAAAAGAGUUCUUUCAAAAAAUGGACGAUGCAGAAAAGAAUCUCAACAAAGAGGUAAUCAACACUCUGUUCUGUCUUCUAUUUAUUUAAUGUUAAUAAUUAAUGUGGUUCUGGAUGAUGCAAUGUGAUUAGGAAAAGGAUAUGAUUGAGUUUUGUAUUUACAAACUCUGUUUCGAUUCUUAUUGAGUGGUAAUAAUGCUUUGUGGAUAUUUGAUUGUGUCAUAUGUUUAGGAAGAGGUUGAGUUGAGCUAUGUUAGAUGUCCAUGUUAUAGCAGUUCUAUAUGAAGUUUCUAACUAUAUUGUUACAUUGGCAGCACAUAAAUGUUGCAUUUGAAAUGCUAAAUUGUAAGAGGGUUGAGCAAGGUGCUUGGUUCCGCAACAACAAUCUUCCAGCAGCAUGCUUUGUACCAGUCAGAUUCUUAGAAGUGGUUGGGUACGCUUAUGAAUCUGUCAGGAAGCCACAUAAGAAAAAACAAACGUUAUUGGAGGGCUGUGUAGGCGAACUUGUCAAAGGUUUAAUACAUCCAAAGAAGGUAUGGCUGGAAGAUGUUGAUGUUAUAUAUGGUGUCAUUGAAGAUAGGUUGAGCUAUCACUAUAUUGGGGUGGAGAUACAAUUGAUUGAUAACACAAUCACACUCUUCCAUUGUGGUCUUCCAAAAGCAAAUAUCAAACGUGCUCUUAAUCAAAUCCAAGAACUGGCAGGUAAAAACUCUUUGUGAUUUAUUAAUUUUAUCAUUCAGUGUAGAAAAAUCAGUUUUAUUUAUAUUGUUACAUUGAUUAUAGAUAGGACUGUGAAAGUAUGCGUAUCCUGAAAAAAAAAAUUUAGCUAAUUUAGAAAAUAAAAGUUUGUCUCUUGCUGCUUGUGCUUGUGCUUGUGAUGCAUUUUUACAUAUUCAUUUUGUUGUCUGUUGGUGAUUAAUUUAUUGUAUAAUUUUGGGUAUUUAUGACAGUGUUGAUUAGUGCCAUAAAGAUGGAACUUCUUGGUGAAGAGGUUAAUUUCGAAGAUAUCAGUCCAUUUCAAGUUAAGUUUGCAGAAGAGCUUCCAAAGACAAAAUUUCCAUACAACUGUGGUAUUUUUGUUGUGAAGAUGCUGGAAUGCAGGUCACUAGUAUUGAAGAGCAUGGCUAAUAUAAAUGAUGAAACUGCGAUGGACUUACGAAGCAAGCUAUGUUGUGAGAUCUUUGACCAGUUUAUGGAUAAAGAUUUCCAGGAAGGUCAAAGGAAGUGAAAAUGUCAUAUUUGUUCUGUUUUUUACUCUGUUUUUCUACUUUGACGUUAAUUAUCCCUAACGUUUAAGUUUAAGUUUGUAAUGAAUUAUCCCUAACGUUUUUUUCAUUUAGAUUGUUAUUGAAAAUUUUUUAGGA